GAUGAAGAACGCAGCGAAAUGCGAUACUUGGUGUGAAUUGCAGAAUCCCGUGAACCAUCGAGUCUUUGAACGCAAGUUGCGCCCGAAGCCAUUAGGCCGAGGGCACGCCUGCCUGGGCGUCACACGUCGUUGCCCCCCCCAUCUACUCCUUCGGGAUUGCGGGGGGCGGAUGAUGGCCUCCCGUGCGCCUCGCCGCGCGGUUGGUAUGAAUGCCAAGUCCUCGGCGACGCACGCCACGACAAUCGGUGGUUGCGAAACCUCGGUUGCCCGUCGUGUGCGGUCGUCGCGCAUCGAGGGCUCGAAAAAAUUGCCGAGUUCCGGCUCGGCUUUCAACGCGACCCCAGGUCAGGCGGGGUUACCCGCUGAAUUUAAGCAUAUCAAUAAGCGGAGGA
rnacentral:misc_RNA from 1 species